UACGGAGGAGGCAAGCGUUAUCCGGAAUUAUUGGGCGUAAAGCGUCCGCAGGUGGCAGUGUAAGUCUGCUGUCAAAGAAUGAGGCUUAACCUUAUCAAGGCAGUGGAAACUACACAGCUAGAGUACGGUCGGGGUAGAAGGAAUUCCUGGUGUAGCGGUGAAAUGCGUAGAGAUCAGGAAGAACACCGGUGGCGAAAGCGUUCUGCUAGACCUGUACUGACACUGAGGGACGAAGGCUAGGGGAGCGAAUGGG
rnacentral:rRNA from 1 species